UACGAAGGGGGCUAGCGUUGUUCGGAAUUACUGGGCGUAAAGCGCACGUAGGCGGACUACUAAGUCAGGGGGUGAAAAUCCCCGGGGGCUCAACCCCCGGAACUGCCUUUGAUACUGAGAGUCUCGAGUCCGGAAGAGGUGAGUGGAAUUCCGAGUGUAGAGGUGAAAUUCGUAGAUAUUCGGAGGAACACCAGUGGCGAAGGGCGGCUUACUGGUCCGGUUCUGACGCUGAGGCGCGAAAGCGUGGGGGAGCAAACAGG
rnacentral:rRNA from 1 species